rnacentral:rRNA from 1 species
CAUGACUCUCGGCAACGGAUAUCUCGGCUCCCGCAUCGAUGAAGAACGUAGCGAAAUGCGAUACCUGGUGUGAAUUGCAGAAUCCCGUGAACCAUCGAGUCUUUGAACGCAAGUUGCGCCCGAGGCCAUCCGGUCGAGGGCACGCCUGCCUGGGCGUCACGCCAA